rnacentral:rRNA from 1 species
UACAGAGGUCUCAAGCGUUGUUCGGAAUUACUGGGCGUAAAGGGCGCGCAGGCGGCCUUAGAAGUCAGAUGUGAAAGCCCCGGGCUCAACCUGGGAAUGGCAUUUGAUACUCUGAGGCUGGAGUACGGGAGAGGAGAGUGGAAUUCCCAGUGUAGAGGUGAAAUUCGUAGAUAUUGGGAAGAACACCGGUGGCGAAGGCGGCUCUCUGGACCGUAACUGACGCUGAGGCGCGAAAGCGUGGGGAGCAAACAGG